rnacentral:rRNA from 1 species
UGAGGAAUAUUGGUCAAUGGGCGCAAGCCUGAACCAGCCAUCCCGCGUGCAGGAAGACGGCCCUAUGGGUUGUAAACUGCUUUUCCAGGGGGAGAAUUUUUCUGUCGUGACAGGAAUUGACGGUACCCUGGGAAUAAGCAUCGGCUAACUCCGUGCCAGCAGCCGCGGUAAUACGGAAGAUGCGAGCGUUAUCCGGAUUUAUUGGGUUUAAAGGGUGCGUAGGCGGAUAGAUAAGUCAGUGGUGAAAACCUGCAGCUUAACUGUAGACUUGCCGUUGAUACUGUCAGUCUUGAGUGUGGUCAAGGUAGGCGGAAUGUGUAAUGUAGCGGUGAAAUGCUUAGAUAUUACACAGAACACCGAUUGCGAAGGCAGCUUACUGGGCCAUUACUGACGCUGAUGCACGAAAGCGUGGGGGUCGAACAG